GCCAGGGUGGCAUAGCAGUUUGAGUGCUAGACUGUGACUCUGGAGACCAGGGUUCAAUUCCUAGCUUGGUCA